rnacentral:rRNA from 1 species
UACGUAGGGUGCAAGCGUUGUCCGGAAUUAUUGGGCGUAAAGGGCUCGUAGGCGGUUUGUCGCGUCGGGAGUGAAAACUCAGGGCUUAACCCUGAGCCUGCUUCCGAUACGGGCAGACUAGAGGUAUGCAGGGGAGAAUGGAAUUCCUGGUGUAGCGGUGAAAUGCGUAGAGAUCGGCAGGAACACCCAGGGGGAAGCCAGUCGACUGGGCAUCUACUGACGCUGAGGUGCGAGAGCGUGGGGAGCGAACCGG